rnacentral:tRNA from 1 species
GGCCCCGUAGCUCAGCGGUAGAGCGCCCGACUCAUAAUCGGUGCGGUCGAAGGUUCGAAUCCUUCCGGGGCCA